rnacentral:rRNA from 1 species
UACGUAGGUGACAAGCGUUGUUCGGAUUUAUUGGGCGUAAAGGGCAUGUAGGUGGUUGACUAAGUGUGAAUUGAAAUACCGAAGCUUAACUUCGCGUUUGGUUUGCAAACUGGUUAACUAGAGUACAGAAGGGGAAACUGGAAUUCCGCGUGUAGGGGUGAAAUCUGUAGAUAUGCGGAAGAAUACUUGUGGCGAAGGCGAGUUUCUGGUCUGUAACUGACGCUGAAAUGCGAAAGUGUGGGGAG